CGCCUAGCCUCGGCCUCUAAGCUUCCUGCAUCUUCUUCAUCGUAGGUGAUGUUGGACGUGACAGAGGAGGUGACAGGUCACCCUGAGUGCGGGACUCCGUGUCCAGAAGGAAGUGGGCCUCCAGGUGCCACGCCUUUGCUUCUGCUGUGGCAUCUGAUGAGUUCCCUGUUCAUCUCUCCAGGCAUUCCCAGGGCAGUCAGCCCUGAUGCCCAGGGGCUAGGCUUGCAAGACCGCGCAUUAGGUUCGCAGAGCUAGAGUGCAAGGCCAGACCUGGUACCAACAGCAUCUCCGCCUUCGUCCUCAUCUGGUUCCCGCCUCAAACCUGUACCUGUGCGGAGGAGCCUGGAAGAUUAUUGAUCUGACCAGAACAGUC
rnacentral:lncRNA from 1 species